GUGGGGAAUAUUGGACAAUGGGCGAAAGCCUGAUCCAGCCAUGCCGCGUGUGUGAAGAAGGUCUUCGGAUUGUAAAGCACUUUAAGUUGGGAGGAAGGGUAGUAACCUAAUACGUUGCUACUUUGACGUUACCGACAGAAUAAGCACCGGCUAACUUCGUGCCAGCAGCCGCGGUAAUACGAAGGGUGCAAGUGUUAAUCGGAAUUACUGGGCGUAAAGCGCGCGUAGGUGGUUCAGUAAGUUGGAAGUGAAAUCCCCGGGCUCAACCUGGGAACUGCUUGCAAAACUGCUGAGCUAGAGUACGGUAGAGGGUGGUGGAAUGUCCUGUGUAGCGGUGAAAUGCGUAGAUAUAGGAAGGAACACCAGUGGCGAAGGCGACCACCUGGACUGAUACUGACACUGGGGUGCGAAAGCGUGGGGAGCAAACAGGAUUAGAAACCCGUGUAGUCC
rnacentral:rRNA from 1 species